GGGGGUAUAGCUCAGUGGUAGAAUGAGUGCUUAGCCUCUCCGAGGCCCUGGGUUCAUUCCCCAGUAUCUCCA
rnacentral:tRNA from 1 species